GGAGUUAUGACUCGGUACGUUUAGGAAUAUAAUUCAUGCAGUGAGGGUUUAUUCUGGUCAUUGUUUAUAUUAUGUGACGCCCCGUACAGUAACGCCGUUCCCUACCAGAGAGAUCUAAUAUAAUGCAAUAUAAAUGUUAGGCAAAGGUGGACAAAAACUGCCAAAAUGGACAGAUUCUGUGAAUCCACUAUUUUGCAGCUCAGCCACUCUGCUUUUAUUUAGAAUUCCCCUGACAGUGAGCUUUAAUUAACUCUGCCUUUAGUAAAUACAGUCACUCAUGCUCUCAUGCUGUUAUUUUUGC